rnacentral:rRNA from 1 species
GUCUAAGUAUAAGCAACUAUACGGUGAAACUGCGAAUGGCUCAUUAAAUCAGUUAUCGUUUAUUUGAUAGUACCUUACUACAUGGAUAACCGUGGUAAUUCUAGAGCUAAUACAUGCUAAAAACCCCGACUUCGGAAGGGGUGUAUUUAUUAGAUAAAAAACCAAUGCCCUUCGGGGCUCUCUGGUGAAUCAUAAUAACUUAACGAAUCGCAUGGCCUUGCGCCGGCGAUGGUUCAUUCAAAUUUCUGCCCUAUCAACUUUCGAUUGUAGGAUAGAGGCCUACAAUGGUAUCAACGGGUAACGGGGAAUUAGGGUUCGAUUCCGGAGAGGGAGCCUGAGAAACGGCUACCACAUCCAAGGAAGGCAGCAGGCGCGCAAAUUACCCAAUCCCGACACGGGGAGGUAGUGACAAUAAAUACUGAUACAGGGCUCUUUUGGGUCUUGUAAUUGGAAUGAGUACAAUCUAAAUCCCUAACGAGGAACAAUUCGGACU